GACGAACGCUGGCGGCGUGCUUAACACAUGCAAGUCGAACGGAAAGGCCCUGCUUUUGUGGGGUGCUCGAGUGGCGAACGGGUGAGUAACACGUGAGUAACCUGCCCUUGACUUUGGGAUAACUUCAGGAAACUGGGGCUAAUACCGGAUAGGAGCUCCUGCUGCAUGGUGGGGGUUGGAAAGUUUCGGCGGUUGGGGAUGGACUCGCGGCUUAUCAGCUUGUUGGUGGGGUAGUGGCUUACCAAGGCUUUGAAGGGUAGCCGGCCUGAGAGGGUGACCGGCGACAUUGGGACUGAGAUACGGCCCAGACUCCUACGGGAGGCAGCAGUGGGGAAUAUUGCAGAAUGGGCGGAAGCCUGAUGCAGCAACGCCGCGUGCGGGAUGACGGCCUUCGGGUUGUAAACCGCUUUCGCCUGUGACGAAGCGUGAGUGACGGUAAUGGGUAAAGAAGCACCGGCUAACUACGUG
rnacentral:rRNA from 1 species